AGCGAACGCUGGCGGCAGGCCUAACACAUGCAAGUCGAACGCCCCGCAAGGGGAGUGGCAGACGGGUGAGUAACACGUGGGAACAUGCCCUUCGGUUCGGAAUAACACAGGGAAACUUGUGCUAAUACCGGAUACGUCCGAGAGGAGAAAGAUUUAUCGCCGAAGGAUUGGCCCGCGUCUGAUUAGCUAGUUGGUGAGGUAACGGCUCACCAAGGCGACGAUCAGUAGCUGGUCUGAGAGGAUGAUCAGCCACACUGGGACUGAGACACGGCCCAGACUCCUACGGGAGGCAGCAGUGGGGAAUAUUGGACAAUGGGCGCAAGCCUGAUCCAGCCAUGCCGCGUGAGUGAUGAAGGCCCUAGGGUUGUAAAGCUCUUUUGCCCGCGACGAUAAUGACUGUAGCGGGA
rnacentral:rRNA from 1 species